UACGUAGGGGGCUAGCGUUGUCCGGAUUUAUUGGGCGUAAAGAGCGUGUAGGCGGCCAGGUAGGUCUGCUGUGAAAACUCGAGGCUCAACCUCGAGACGUCGGCGGAAACCAUCUGGCUAGAGUCCGGAAGAGGAGAGUGGAAUUCCUGGUGUAGCGGUGAAAUGCGCAGAUAUCAGGAAGAACACCCGUGGCGAAGGCGGCUCUCUGGAACGCAACUGACACUGAGACGCGAAAGCGUGGGGAGCAAACAGG
rnacentral:rRNA from 1 species